CACUCAUCCAGAGAGGUGGAGGGAUACGGCCCUGUGAAGCCCGGCAACCCGCUGCAAUGUCGCACGAAGGGUGCCAAUUCCGGCAAAGCUUUGCUUUGCAAGAUGAGGG
rnacentral:ncRNA from 2 species